rnacentral:rRNA from 1 species
GAUGAACGCUGGCGGCGUGCCUAAUACAUGCAAGUCGAGCGAACAGACCAGGAUCUUGCUCCUCUGACGUUAGCGGCGGACGGGUGAGUAACACGUGGAUAACCUCCCUAUAAGACUGGUAUAAUUUCGGGAAACCGGCGCUAAUACCGGAUAAUAUAUUGCACCGCAUGGUUCAAUAGUGAAAUUCGGUUUUUCUGUCACUUCUAGAUGCAUCCCCGCCGCAUUAGCUAGUUGGUAAGGUAACGGCUUACCAAGGCAAGUAUGCGUAGCCGACCUGAGAGGGUGAUCGGCCACACUGGAACUGAGACAGGGUCAAGACUCCUACGGGAGGCAGCAGUAGGGAAUCUUACGCAAUGGGCGAGAGCAUGACGGAGCAAAGCGGCGUGAGUGAUGAAGGUCUUCGGAUCGUAAAACUCUGUUAUUAGGGAAGAACAAAUGUGUAAGUAACUAUGAACGUCUUGACGGUACCUAAUCAGAAAGCCACGGCUAACUACGUG